GGACUACCAGGGUUUCUAAUCCUGUUUGCUCCCCACGCUUUCGCGUCUCAGCGUCAGUGUCCGUCCAGGUCGCCGCCUUCGCCACUGGUGUUCCUCCCGAUAUCUACGAAUUUCACCUCUACACCGGGAAUUCCGCGACCCUCUCCGGCACUCAAGCCCAACAGUUUCCCGCGCACUUCCCUGGUUAAGCCAGGGGAUUUCACACGAGACUUUUUAGGCCGCCUACAAGCGCUUUACGCCCAAUAAUUCCGAACAACGCUAGCACCCUCUGUAUUACCGCGGCUGCUGGCAC
rnacentral:rRNA from 1 species